rnacentral:rRNA from 1 species
ACGAAGGGGGCUAGCGUUGCUCGGAAUUACUGGGCGUAAAGGGCGCGUAGGCGGACAGCUUAGUCAGAGGUGAAAGCCCAGGGCUCAACCUUGGAACUGCCUUUGAUACUGGCUGUCUUGAGUUUGGGAGAGGUGUGUGGAACUCCGAGUGUAGAGGUGAAAUUCGUAGAUAUUCGGAAGAACACCAGUGGCGAAGGCGACACACUGGCCCAAUACUGACGCUGAGGCGCGAAAGCGUGGGGAGCAAACAGG